GGGGGGGGGGGGGGGGGGGGGGGGGGGGGGCGGGGCGGGCGGGGGGGCGGGGGGCUGGCGUGUCUGGUGGUAGCGGCGGGCGGGGGGGUAACGCGUGGAUAGCCUACCUAUAAGACUGGGAUAACUUCGGGGAACCGGGGCUAAUACCGGAUAAUAUUUUGAACCGCAUGGUUCAAAAGUGACCGCCGGUCUUGCUGUCACUUAUAGAUGGAUCCGCGCUGCAUUAGCUAGUUGGUAAGGUAACGGCUUACCAAGGCAACGAUGCAUAGCCGACCUGAGAGGGUGAUCGGCCACACUGGAACUGAGACACGGUCCAGACUCCUACGGGAGGCAGCAGUAGGGAAUCUUCCGCAAUGGGCGAAAGCCUGACGGAGCAACGCCGCGUGAGUGAUGAAGGUCUUCGGAUCGUAAAACUCUGUUAUUAGGGAAGAACAUAUGUGUAAGUAACUGUGCACAUCUUGACGGUACCUAAUCAGAAAGCCACGGCUAACUACGUG
rnacentral:rRNA from 1 species